AUGGACUGUGAACAAGCCAACCCAGACUUGCUCAAAGCGGAGGUGUUGAGUCCUUUUGGUAAAACCAUCUGCUCAUAUCUGUGGUCAUUUAAAAACCGGGUUGUUAGUCGGACAGGCGCGGAGAGUCUUCUGGAAGGAUCGCCGCAAUGGAAGGAUCGGCCCAGGGAAAGCCGCAGGUCCAGGAAAGCCGCAGGUCCAGUUCAAGCUCGUCCUGGUGGGCGAUGGCAUAGAGAUCUGGUACGAGUGUGUGAAAAUAUCUCCAUUGUAUUGUGUGGCAACAAAGUGGAUAUUAAAGACAGGAAAGUGAAGGCAAAAUCUAUUGUCUUCCACCGAAAGAAGAAUCUUCAGUACUAUGUCAUUUCUGCCAAAAGCAACUACAACUUUGAAAAGCCUUUCCUCUGGCUUGCCAGAGAGCUUAUUGGAGAGCCUAACUAGGAAUUUGUUGCCAUGCCUGCUCUUGCCCCACCUGAGGUGGCCAUGGAUCCAGCUUUGGCAGCACAGUACGAGCAUAAUUUAGAGGUUGCUCAGACGACUGCUCUCCCGGAUGAGGAUGAUGACAUCUGAGAAAGUGAAGCUGGAGCCCUGCGUCAGAAGUCUAGUUUUAUAGGCAAUUGUCCUGUGAUGUCAGGGGUGCAGCGCGUGUGCCACCUUAUUUAGCUAAGCAGAUCGUGUACUUCAUUGGGAUGCUGAAGGAGAUGAAUGGGCUUCGGAGUGAAUGUGGCAGUUAAACAUACCUUCAUUUUUUUGGAAUUGCAUAUUUAGCUGUUUGGAACAGAGUUGUUUCCUUUCUGAAUUUCAAAGAUAAGACUGCUGCAGUCGAAUCACAAUAUCCAGUGGUGAAAUCUUGUUUGUUACUGUCAUUCCCAUUCUUUUCGUUCAGAAUAAAGUUGUAUUUCAAAUAA